rnacentral:rRNA from 1 species
UACAGAGGGGGCAAGCGUUGUUCGGAAUUACUGGGCGGAAAGGGCGCGUAGGCGGCCUGUUAAGUCGAACGUGAAAUCCCCGGGCUCAACCCGGGAACUGCGUCCGAUACUGGCAGGCUUGAAUCCGGGAGAGGGAUGCGGAAUUCCAGGUGUAGCGGUGAAAUGCGUAGAUAUCCGGAGGAACACCGGUGGCGAAGGCGGCUUCCUGGACCGACACUGACGCUGAGGCGCGAAAGCUAGGGGAGCAAACGGG